AUACUUACCUUGAAGGUGCCCAGUAGUACAGCUACAUUCUGGUCGAUCAUUAAGGACCGUGGGCUAUAGUGGAGCGGCCCAACUGCACGCGUUGUGAUAUACGCAGGGUGUCUGUGAAGCUAUAUGGCUUCAGCACAAGCUGGGGUCGACUUCGUAAUUUAUGAGUCGCGGGGACCAGAGUACGCUCUAUCCUUGG
rnacentral:snRNA from 1 species